AAAUGAUCCAUGGUUCCCAAGCUCGGCCAGUCAAAGAAAGGUUUCGACCAGUGCCUUUGUGUUCUCCCAUAUUACUACCCACGCCACAUGCCCUGGCAUUACGUACAAUCUUACAGUUAGGUGUGAAGCCAUCAUGGUUUAAUACAUGGAGUACAACCACAGAUGACGCGAACCACCAAGUUCCUGGAACUCCGACAUCUGGAGAUCUUCGUAACCACAUGAUUGAAUCACCCCGCAUUGGUGAUAGUGUAGUGCCUGAGAUGCUUCUCAAAGUACUGGAGCCUUAUCGCAGAGAGGG
rnacentral:misc_RNA from 1 species